AACAAGGCAAACCGGUCGAAAGACCGGGACGCAAAGCUUGGGAGGCUAAAGCGGCUUUGCCGCCAUGCCAGUCCGGCCGCCA
rnacentral:ncRNA from 1 species